rnacentral:rRNA from 1 species
AUUGAACGCUGGCGGCAUGCCUUACACAUGCAAGUCGAACGGCAGCACGGGAGCAAUCCUGGUGGCGAGUGGCGAACGGGUGAGUAAUAUAUCGGAACGUGCCCAGUCGUGGGGAUAACGUAGCGAAAGCUACGCUAAUACCGCAUACGAUCUAUGGAUGAAAGCGGGGGAUCGCAAGACCUCGCGCGAUUGGAGCGGCCGAUAUCAGAUUAGGUAGUUGGUGAGGUAAAGGCUCACCAAGCCGACGAUCUGUAGCUGGUCUGAGAGGACGACCAGCCACACUGGAACUGAGACACGGUCCAGACUCCUACGGGAGGCAGCAGUGGGGAAUUUUGGACAAUGGGCGCAAGCCUGAUCCAGCAAUGACCGCGUGCAGGAUGAAGGCCU